rnacentral:rRNA from 1 species
AUUGAACGCUGUCGGCAGGCCUAACACAUGCAAGUCGAGCGGCGCUUCGGACGGGUGGUUAAUGCCUAGUAAUCUGCCUGUUCGUGGGCGAUCACGUACUGAAACAUACGCUACUGCCUCAUACUAUCAAAUGGGUCUCGGUUGUAUUAGCUAGUUGGGGGGGUGAAGGCUUACCAAGGCGACGAUCCGUAACUGGUCUGAGAGGAUGAUCAGUCACACUGGAACUGAGACACGGUCCAGACUCCUAAGGGAGGCAGAAGUGGGGAAUAUUGGGCAAGGGGAGAAAGUAUGACCAAGCCAUGCCGCGUGGGUGAAGAAGGUCUUCGGAUGGUAAAGCACUUUAAGUUGGGAGGCGUUAUCAAAAGAAGAAGCACCGGCUAACUGCGUGCCAGCAGCAGCGGUAAUUC